rnacentral:rRNA from 1 species
CAGUAGCCGCGGUAAUACGAAGGGUGCAAGCGUUACUCGGAAUUACUGGGCGUAAAGCGUGCGUAGGUGGUGGUUUAAGUCCGUUGUGAAAGCCCUGGGCUCAACCUGGGAAUUGCAGUGGAUACUGGGUCACUAGAGUGUGGUAGAGGAUAGUGGAAUUUCCGGUGUAGCAGUGAAAUGCGUAGAGAUCGGAAGGAACAUCUGUGGCGAAGGCGACUAUCUGGGCCAACACUGACACUGAGGCUCGAAAGCGUGGGGAGCAAACAGGAUUAGAUACCCGGGUAGUCCCUGUCUCUUAUAC